rnacentral:rRNA from 1 species
CAUAAGAACCCGGUGACAGGUGCUGCAUGGCUGUCGUCAGCUCGUGUCGUGAGAUGUUGGUUAAGUCCCGCAACGAGCGCAACCCUCGCCUUUAGUUGCCAGCAUUCAGUUGGGCACUCUAGAGGGACUGCCGGUGUCAAACCGGAGGAAGGUGGGGAUGACGUCAAGUCCUCAUGGCCUUUAUGUCUAGGGCUACACACGUACUACAAUGGCCGGUACAAAGGGCAGCCACUCAGCGAUGAGGCGCUAAUCCCAUAAAGCCGGUCUCAGUCCGGAUCGCAGUCUGCAACUCGACUGCGUGAAGUUGGAAUCGCUAGUAAUCGUAGAUCAGCAUGCUACGGUGAAUACGUUCCCGGGCCUU